CCAGCUCCAAUAGCGUAUAUUAAAGUUGUUGCGGUUAAAAAGCUCGUAGUUGGAUCUGCGGCCUGGGAGGCCGGUCCCCCACAGGGUGCGACUGGUUUUCCCGGGCCUACCUCGCCGGUUUUCCCCUGGUACUCUUCAUCGGGCGCCUGGGGUGGCCGGCAAGUUUACUUUGAAAAAAUUAGAGUGCUCAAAGCAGGCGCGUAGCCUGAAUAGUGGUGCAUGGAAUAAUAGAAUAGGACCUCGGUUCUAUUUUGUUGGUUUUCGGAGCGCGAGGUAAUGAUUAAGAGGGACAGACGGGGGCAUUCGUAUUGCUGCGUUAGAGGUGAAAUUCUUGGAUCGCAGCAAGACGGACAACUGCGAAAGCAUUUGCCAAGAAUGUUUUCAUUAAUCAAGAACGAAAGUUAGAGGUUCGAAGGCGAUCAGAUACCGCCCUAGUUCUAACCGUAAACGAUGCCAACUAGCGAUCCGCUGGCGUUAAACAUGACUCAGCGGGCAGCUUUCCGGAAACGAAAGUUUUUCGGUUCCGGGGGAAGUAUGGUUGCAAAUCCGAAACUUAAAGGAAUUGACGGAAGGGCACCACCAGGAGUGGAGCCUGCGGCUUAAUUCGACUCAAC
rnacentral:rRNA from 1 species